rnacentral:rRNA from 1 species
UAGGGAAUCUUCGGCAAUGGGGGCAACCCUGACCGAGCAACGCCGCGUGAGUGAAGAAGGUUUUCGGAUCGUAAAGCUCUGUUGUAAGAGAAGAACGUGUGUGAGAGUGGAAAGUUCACACAGUGACGGUAACUUACCAGAAAGGGACGGCUAACUACGUGCCAGCAGCCGCGGUAAUACGUAGGUCCCGAGCGUUGUCCGUAUUUAUUGGGCGUAAAGCGAGCGCAGGCGGUUUAAUAAGUCUGAAGUUAAAGGCAGUGGCUUAACCAUUGUUCGCUUUGGAAACUGUUAAACUUGAGUGCAGAAGGGGAGAGUGGAAUUCCAUGUGUAGCGGUGAAAUGCGUAGAUAUAUGGAGGAACACCGGUGGCGAAAGCGGCUCUCUGGUCUGUAACUGACGCUGAGGCUCGAAAGCGUGGGGAGCAAACAGG